rnacentral:rRNA from 1 species
GAUGAACGCUGGCGGCGUGCCUAAUACAUGCAAGUCGAGCGAACAGACGAGGAGCUUGCUCCUCUGACGUUAGCGGCGGACGGGUGAGUAACACGUGGAUAACCUACCUAUAAGACUGGGAUAACUUCGGGAAACCGGAGCUAAUACCGGAUAAUAUAUUGAACCGCAUGGUUCAAUAGUGAAAGACGGUUUUGCUGUCACUUAUAGAUGGAUCCGCGCCGCAUUAGCUAGUUGGUAAGGUAACGGCUUACCAAGGCAACGAUGCGUAGCCGACCUGAGAGGGUGAUCGGCCACACUGGAACUGAGACACGGGCCAGACUCCUACGGGAGGCAGCAGUAGGGAAUCUUCCGCAAUGGGCGAAAGCCUGACGGAGCAACGCCGCGUGAGUGAUGAAGGUCUUCGGAUCGUAAAACUCUGUUAUUAGGGAAAAACAAAUGUGUAAGUAACUAUGCACGUCUUGACGGUACCUAAUCAGAAAGCCACGGCUAACUACGUG